CAUAUCAAUAAGCGGAGGAAAAGAAACCAACAGGGAUUGCCCUAGUAACGGCGAGUGAAGCGGCAUCAGCUCAAAUUUGAAAUCUGGCUCUUUCAGGGUCCGAGUUGUAAUUUGCAGAGGGCGCUUUGGCGUUGGCAGCGGUCCAAGUUCCUUGGAACAGGACGUCACAGAGGGUGAGAAUCCCGUACGUGGUCGCUGGCCUUCGCCGUGUAAAGCCCCUUCGACGAGUCGAGUUGUUUGGGAAUGCAGCUCUAAAUGGGAGGUAAAUUUCUUCUAAAGCUAAAUACUGGCCAGAGACCGAUAGCGCACAAGUAGAGUGAUCGAAAGAUGAAAAGCACUUUGGAAAGAGAGUCAAAUAGCACGUGAAAUUGUUGAAAGGGAAGCGCUUGCAGCCAGACUUGCCUGUAGUUGCUCAUCCGGGCUUUUGCCCGGUGCACUCUUCUGCGGGCAGGCCAGCAUCAGUCUGGGCGGUUGGAUAAAGGUCUCUGUCAUGUACCUCCUCUCGGGGAGGCCUUAUAGGGGAGGCGUAAUGCAACCAGCCUGGACUGAGGUCCGCGCAUCUGCUAGGAUGCUGGCGUAAUGGCUGUAAGCGGCCCGUCUUGAAACACGGACCAAGGAGUCUAACAUCUAUGCGAGUGUUUGGGUGUCAAGCCCGAGCGCGUAAUGAAAGUGAACGGAGGUGGGAUCCCUUUAGGGUGCACCAUCGACCGAUCCUGAUGUCUUCGGAUGGAUUUGAGUAAGAGCAUGGCUGUUGGGACCCGAAAGAUGGUGAACUAUGCUUGAAUAGGGUGAAGCCAGAGGAAACUCUGGUGGAGGCUCGCAGCGGUUCUGACGUGCAAAUCGAUCGUCAAAUUUGGGCAUAGGGGCGAAAGACUAAUCGAACUAUCU
rnacentral:sRNA from 1 species